rnacentral:rRNA from 1 species
UACGGGGGGAGCAAGCGUUGUUCGGAUUUACUGGGCGUAAAGGGCGCGUAGGCGGCCUCCGCAAGUCGACUGUGAAAUCUCCGGGCUUAACCCGGAAAGGUCAGCCGAAACUGCGGGGCUAGAGUGCAGAAGGGGCAACUGGAAUUCUCGGUGUAGCGGUGAAAUGCGUAGAUAUCGAGAGGAACACCAGUGGCGAAGGCGAGUCCCUGGACAGGUCCUGACGCUGAGGCACGAAAGCUAGGGGAGCAAACAGG